rnacentral:rRNA from 1 species
GCUUGUCUCAAAGAUUAAGCCAUGCAUGUCUAAGUGUAAAUAAGUCUAUACUGUGAAACUGCGAAUGGCUCAUUAAAACAGUUAUCGUUUCUUUGGUGGUUAUUGAUUCCAUGGAUAGCCGUGGUAAUUCUAGAGCUAAUACAUGCGCCCAGACCCAACUUUUAGGAAGGGUUGUAUUUAUUAGGUACAGAACCAAUGCAAGCUCCGCUUGACCUUUUGGUGAUUCAUGGUAACCGAACGAAUCGCACGGCACCAGCUGGCGAUGGACCAUUUCAGUUUCUGACCUAUCAGCUUCCGACGGUAGGAUAU